rnacentral:tRNA from 1 species
UAUUUUACAGUGUUGGUGCACGCAGAAUUUUGAAUUCUAAAGAAGGAUUAAAUACAUCCUUUUAAUAA